rnacentral:rRNA from 1 species
AUUGAACGCUGUCGGCAGGCCUAACACAUGCAAGUCGAACGAGAGGCGGACGGGUGAGUAAUGUCUGGGAAUCUGCCUGAUGGGGCGAGAUAACUACUGGAAAGGGUAUCUAAAACCGCAUACCGUCGGAUGUUCACAGAGGGGAUUCGCUGGUUGGUGGGGUAAAGGCGCACCUAGGAGACUACCCCUAGCGGGUCUGAGAGGAUGCGCAGCCACACUGGAACUGAGACACGGUCCAGACUCCUACGGGAGGCAGCAGUGGGGAAUAUUGCACAAUGGGCGAAAGCCUGAUGCAGCCAUGCCGCGUGUAUGAAGAAGGCCUUCGGGUUGUAAAGUACUUUCAGCGGGGAGGCGUUACCCGCAGAAGAAGCACCGGCUAACUCCGUGCCAGCAGCCGCGGUAAUAC